rnacentral:tRNA from 2 species
AACAUAAUUAAAUCUAUGUUACGGCCAUAGAGUGGGUAGCGAAGUCUACUAUAUGUUU